rnacentral:rRNA from 1 species
CAUGCAAGCUGAGCGGUAUUUGUCUUUCGGGACAGAGAGAGCGGCGUACGGGUGCGUAACACGUGUGCAACCUGCCUUUAUCAGGAGGAUAGCCUUUCGAAAGGAGAUUAAUACUCCAUAAUAUAUUAAUUGGCAUCAAUUGAUAUUGAAAACUCCGGUGGAUAAAGAUGGGCACGCGCAAGAUUAGAUAGUUGGUGAGGUAACGGCUCACCAAGUCGAUGAUCUUUAGGGGGCCUGAGAGGGUGAUCCCCCACACUGGUACUGAGACACGGACCAGACUCCUACGGGAGGCAGCAGUGAGGAAUAUUGGACAAUGGGUUAGCGCCUGAUCCAGCCCAUCCCGCGUGAAGGAUUAAGGACCUAUGGUUUGUAAACUUCUUUUGUACAGGGAUAAACCUACCCUCGUGAGGGUAGCUGAAGGUACUGUACGAAUAAGCACCGGCUAACUCCGUG